CCGUGUUUCGUGCCGCUGUCCUCUCCCUAACAUGUUUCUUCGUGAACUCAUCAAGAUAACCACGUAUCCUAGUGUACUUCCAUUGUUGGUUCUGUUUGCAGAGUUUCUUGAAUAGAUUCAUAAGUGACUUGUUCCUGAACUGCGAGAAGAAGUUGGCCCCCAAAUGCCGCAUGCACCAACGACUCUACAUGUCCUGCCAUGGAGUCUGUUCAUCAGGCCCAGGGUUUGUCAGUGUCCUUAUCGCACUGAGUAUGCCUGCAUGUCUGUCAUGAAGGAUGCACACAUUCGGCUUAUCAUGC
rnacentral:lncRNA from 1 species